rnacentral:rRNA from 1 species
UACGGAGGGUGCAAACGUUGCUCGGAAUCAUUGGGCGUAAAGCGCACGUAGGCGGUUUGUUAUGUCGGAUGUGAAAGCCCUCGGCUUAACCGAGGAAGUGCAUCCGAAACUGGCAAGCUUGAGUACAGAAGAGGGUCUCGGAAUUCCCGGUGUAGAGGUGAAAUUCGUAGAUAUCGGGAGGAACACCAGUGGCGAAGGCGGCAUCCUGGACCAACACUGACGCUGAGGAGCGAAAGCCAGGGGAGCAAACGGG